rnacentral:misc_RNA from 1 species
GGCUUGUUGUAACAGAGCAUUUUCAUCCUCCAUUGGAUCAUUUGUCUUCUGAGCAUCAGAAGAUUCAGCACUAGCACGUUCAUUCAUAGUUGUAUCCUGUGAGCCAGAUGGCUGUUCCCCUCCUUUUUCCUGCUUUGAAGUCUCCUCAGCAGCUCUCUUAGCAGCUGCCUCCUGUCUGGCCCUUUCCUCUUCCAUUGACACUCGAAGUGCAAGUGCUAGUUCAGGGUCUAAGUUGGGAUCCACACCAAAAUCAAAACCGGCCCCACCAGCUGAAGCUGCAGCAGCAGCUGCAGCAAAUCCAC